GACGAACGCUGGCGGCGUGCUUAACACAUGCAAGUCGAACGGAAAGGCCCUGCUUUUGUGGGGUGCUCGAGUGGCGAACGGGUGAGUAACCCGUGAGUAACCUGCCCUUGACUUUGGGAUAACUUCAGGAAACUGGGGCUAAUACCGGAUAGGAGCUCCUGCUGCAUGGUGGGGGUUGGAUAGUUUCGGCGGUUGGGGAUGGACUCGCGGCUUAUCAGCUUGUUGGUGGGGUAGUGGCUUACCAAGGCUUUGACGGGUAGCCGGCCUGAGAGGGUGACCGGCGACACUGAGACUUAGGUACGGCACAGGCGGCUACGGGUGGCAGCUGUGGGGAAGAUUGAACAAUCGGCGGCAGCCUGAUGCAGAAACGCCGCGUGCGGGAUGACGGUCUUCGGGUUGUAAACCGCUUUCUUCUGUGACGAAGCGGGAGUGACGGGUAUGGGUAAAGAAGCACCCGCUAAAUUCGUUC
rnacentral:rRNA from 1 species